GACGAACGCUGGCGGCGUGCUUAACACAUGCAAGUCGAACGGAAAGGCCCUGCUUUUGUGGGGUGCUCGAGUGGCGAACGGGUGAGUAACACGUGAGUAACCUGCCCUUGACUUUGGGAUAACUUCAGGAAACUGGGGCUAAUACCGGAUAGGAGCUCCUGCUGCAUGGUGGGGGUUGGAAAGUUUCGGCGGUUGGGGAUGGACUCGCGGCUUAUCAGCUUGUUGGUGGGGUAGUGGCUUACCAAGGCUUUGACGGGUAGCCGGCCUGAGAGGGUGACCGGCCACAUUGGGACUGAGAUACGGCCCAGAGUCCUACGGGAGGCGGCAGUGGGGAAUAUUGCACAAUGGGCGGAAGCCUGAUGCAGCAACGCCGCGUGCGGGAUGACGGCCUUCGGGUUGUAAACCGCUUUCGCCUGUGACGAAGCGUGAGUGACGGUAAUGGGUAAAGAAGCACCGGCUAACUACGUG
rnacentral:rRNA from 1 species